rnacentral:rRNA from 1 species
GGAUUAGAUACCCUGGUAGUCCACGCCCUAAACGAUGAGAACUAGCUGUCGGGAGAAUUAAAUCUUUUGGUAGCGUAGCUAACGCGUUAAGUUCUCCGCCUGGGGAGUACGGUCGCAAGAUUAAAACUCAAAUGAAUUGACGGGGGCCCGCACAAGCGGUGGAGCAUGUGGUUUAAUUCGAUGCAACGCGAAGAACCUUACCUGGUCUUGACAUCCUUUGAAUCCCUGAGAGAUUGGGGAGUGCCUUCGGGAACAGAGAGACAGGUGCUGCAUGGCUGUCGUCAGCUCGUGUCG